UCGUCACAGGGCUGAAGAGGAGAGAGGAAGAGGAGCGUCAUCCUCCUCAGUACUGUACUCACCUGGGUUUAGUGUCCUGCUGUCUGAAUCAGGCAAAAAGUGUUUUCGGUUGGAGGCGUGUGCGUUACCUCGUCCGAGGACUGGGACAGGGUGUGGUACGGAUGGGCGGAUCUGGAGGAGGAGGAGGACUCCACAGGAGGAGAGGUGGAGGAGGAGGUGUGAGGAGGAGAGAACUCCUCGCUGAGACCCGACUCCUGCAGGAUGAAGAGAGAGCAAGAGAGACAAGAUGUGACUCCAACACCUGUCCUGUGCUCUGAUUGGUCUCACCAGUGAUGUGUCGAAGGAGAAGGCAGGGCUUCGAGCUGACAGCAGUGACUCAGGAGAGGGGGAGGAGCCUCUCAUGCUCAGGUGUAGAGUUUAUUUCCUGAGGGAGACGGGGGAGGUGAGUCUGAAAGGAGGAUGAGGAGAAGCAGCUGUGGAGGAUUUAGUGGUGAAACAUUGAAGUCUGGUGACACAGAGGUAAUGAGCCACAGGGUGGAGGGCUGAGAGAGACGUUAACAGACCCCUGGGAAAUGGGGGUGUGUGAUGUUGGGUCUGUUUGGUCUGAACACUUUGUGUUGCGUUGGUGUGAGUUCUGAUCUGUAUGAGACCUGCAGCUGUUUGUAUGUCGACUGGAUGUGUUUUGAAUUGUGUUGUGGAUGUUGUUGUGUUAUGGUUUGGCAGGGACAGGGACUAUUUUACUUUUGUGCUGUGUGUGUGUGUGUGUGUGUGUCUGCUGUGAUUGAUGGUGUGUGACCCUCACCGAACACG